UGGGGAAUUUUGCACAAUGGGGGAAACCCUGAUGCAGCGACGCCGCGUGAUUUAGAAGGCCUUCGGGUUGUAAAAAUCUUUUCUAUGGGAAGAAAAUGACAGUACCAUAGGAAUAAGGACCGGCUAAUUACGUGCCAGCAGCCGCGGUAAUACGUAAGGUCCGAGCGUUGUCCGGAAUCAUUGGGCGUAAAGGGUACGUAGGCGGGUAAGCAAGUUAGAAGUGAAAUCCUAUAGCUCAACUAUAGUAAGCUUUUAAAACUGCUCAUCUUGAGGUAUGGAAGGGAGAGUGGAAUUCCUAGUGUGGCGGUGAAAUGCGCAGAUAUUAGGGGGAAUACCGGUGGCGAAGGCGACUUUCUGGCCAUAACCUGACGCUGAGGUACGAAAGCGUGGGUAGCAAACAGG
rnacentral:rRNA from 1 species